rnacentral:rRNA from 1 species
AUGAACGCUGGCGGCGUGCCUAAUACAUGCCAGUCGAGCGAACGGACGAGAAGCUUGCUUCUCUGAUGUUAGCGGCGGCCGGGUGAGUAACCCGUGGAUAACCUACCUAUAAGACUGGGAUAACUUCGGGAAACCGGAGCUAAUACCGGAUGAUAUUUUGAACCGCAUGGUUCAAAAGUGAAAGACGGUCUUGCUGUCACUUAUAGAUGGAUCCGCGCUGCAUUAGCUAGUUGGUAAGGUAACGGCUUACCAAGGCAACGAUGCAUAGCCGACCUGAGAGGGUGAUCGGCCACACUGGAACUGAGACACGGUCCAGACUCCUACGGGAGGCAGCAGUAGGGAAUCUUCCGCAAUGGGCGAAAGCCUGACGGAGCAACGCCGCGUGAGUGAUGAAGGUCUUCGGAUCGUAAAACUCUGUUAUUAGGGAAGAACAUAUGUGUAAGUAACUGUGCACAUCUUGACGGUACCUAAUCAGAAAGCCACGGCUAACUACGUG